GCAUCCUUGAUAUGCCUUUCCAUCCCUGGUCAUAUCGUUUGACAAUAUUCAUGGCCUGCUCGCCCAUCACUGUGCAUUACCAUGAUCCUGGGGAUACAUGACCGCACCACCCAAUAUCUUAGGUCCACAGCCUACUCACACAUUGAGCACUGCCACAAUAUCGGCAUUCCAGUCUGCCCCAUCAAGUAAAUAUCUUCGACCGGAUGAUAAAUGCAUCAAGCUGUCCUCUCCUCGGCAUGACCCUCUUGGCCAUCCAUGAUCCUUGGCCCAGCU
rnacentral:lncRNA from 1 species